UACGUAGGGGGCAAGCGUUGUCCGGAAUUAUUGGGCGUAAAGCGCGCGCAGGUGGUUCCUUAAGUCUGAGGUGAAAGCCCACGGCUCAACCGUGGAGGGUCAUUGGAAACUGGGGAACUUGAGUGCAGAAGAGGAAAGUGGAAUUCCAAGUGUAGCGGUGAAAUGCGUAGAGAUUUGGAGGAACACCAGUGGCGAAGGCGACUUUCUGGUCUGUAACUGACACUGAGGCGCGAAAGCGUGGGGAGCAAACAGG
rnacentral:rRNA from 1 species